rnacentral:rRNA from 1 species
AUGGAACCCACGAGACAGAUCGUGCGCCACACGACGGCCAUUGGUGCCUCAGGAUCACCUGCUGUGUUGGUUGAGAUGAUGACCUAUUUGGGUUAUCGCUGGCACCCUGAGUACAUCGUCUAUGAGGAGUAUCAGGACUUCAACCAGGAGCAGUACCGUGCCAUCAUCCACCUCUACUCUCGGGAGUAUGACUCCAUUACUGUGCUGCACACUACUCAUGGUGUUGGAGUGACUAUCGACAUGGCGGUCCACGAUACUGCUUAUGCUGCUCUGACACGUCUUCGUGGAGAGUAUCAGGAGUUGAACACCUCCCCUUUCAGGCACAUUGCUAUCGCAUCCGAUGUUGGUGCGGAGGGGUACUACAAUGAUGCAUACUCCACUAUCAACCGAGAGCCCUUCUACCAUCAGAACUUGGUUUUGCAUGCUGAUGGGCUAGAUAGAGCUAACUGA